GCUGGCGGCAGGCCUAACACAUGCAAGUCGAGCGCCGUAGCAAUACGGAGCGGCAGACGGGAGAGUAACACGUGGGAACGUACCCUUUGGUUCGGAACAACCCAGGGAAACUUGGGCUAAUACCGGAUAAGCCCUUACGGGGAAAGAUUCAUCGCCGAAGGAUCGGCCCGCGUCUGAUUAGCUAGUUGGUGGGGUAAUGGCCCACCAAGGCGACGAUCAGUAGCUGGUCUGAGAGGAUGAUCAGCCUCACUGGGACUGAGACACGGCCCAGACUCCUACGGGAGGCAGCAGUGGGGAAUAUUGGACAAUGGGCGCAAGCCUGAUCCAGCCAUGCCGCGUGGGUGAUGAAGGCCCUAGGGUUGUAAAGCCCUUUCGGCGGGGAAGAUAAUGACGGNCCCGCAGAAGAAGCCCCGGCUAACUUCGUGCCAGCAGCCGCGGUAAUACGAAGGGGGCUAGCGUUGCUCGGAAUCACUGGGCGUAAAGCGCACGUAGGCGGAUUG
rnacentral:rRNA from 1 species